rnacentral:rRNA from 1 species
UACGAAGGGGGGCUAGCGUUGCUCGGAAUGACUGGGCGUAAAGGGCGCGUAGGCGGAUGGCACAGUCAGAUGUGAAAUUCCCGGGCUUAACCUGGGGGCUGCAUUUGAUACGUGUGAUCUAGAGUGAGGAAGAGGGGUCGUGGAAUUCCCAGUGUAGAGGUGAAAUUCGUAGAUAUUGGGAAGAACACCGGUGGCGAAGGCGGGUCUCUGGGCAGUAACUGACGCUGAGGAGCGAAAGCGUGGGGGAGCGAACAGG